UACGUAGGGACCAAGCGUUGUUCGGAUUUACUGGGCGUAAAGGGCGCGUAGGCGGCGUGGUAAGUCACUUGUGAAAUCUCUGAGCUUAACUCAGAACGGCCAAGUGAUACUGCUGUGCUAGAGUGCAGAAGGGGCAAUCGGAAUUCUUGGUGUAGCGGUGAAAUGCGUAGAUAUCAGGAGGAACACCGGUGGCGAAGGCGGGUCUCUGGGCCGAUACUGACGCUGAGGAGCGAAAGCGUGGGGGAGCAAACAGG
rnacentral:rRNA from 1 species